GGCUGGCAAAAUCCAGUUUGGCUACGUAUAUGGAAUCAGUGCAAUUGGAUGCCUAGGAAUGUUUUGUUUAUUAAACUUAAUGAGUAUGACUGGUGUUUCAUUUGGUUGUGUGGCAAGUGUCCUUGGAUAUUGUCUUCUUCCUAUGAUCCUGCUUUCCAGCUUCGCAGUGAUAUUUUCUUUGCAAGGAAUGGUAGGAAUCAUUCUUACUGCUGGAAUUAUUGGAUGGUGUAGUUUUUCUGCUUCCAAAAUUUUUAUUUCUGCAUUAGCCAUGGAAGGACAGCAGCUUCUAGUAGCAUAUCCUUGUGCUUUGUUAUACGGAGUCUUCGCCCUAAUUUCCGUUUUUUGAACUGAAUUUAUCUGGGAUGUAGACAUCAUUGGGCCAAAUAACAAAAAGGACUUUGAACUCUUCAAUCGGACCAGCAAAUGGCUACAGUGCAACUCUCAUGCAGAUCUAAUGUUCGACUCUUGGAGCAGUGGAAGUAAAUAAGUAUCUUUGGUUCAUUUUUAUAGAACUUUUGAAUACUAUAUUGGAUUUAUGCAGUAUGACUAGAUUUAAAAGGUGUUUGUGCUUAUACAAAUAAGAAGUGCUAUUUCUUUCCUGUUCCUGCAGCCUUAGAAGAACAACCUUUUCCCUUGCUAAUUGUAUAUUAUGGUGUUUUUGAUAGAUUUUUAUCAACUGUGGGAAACUAACCACAGAGCUGAUAUCUUAAAAACAAUCCAUAGUAGAGAAGACACAGGACUUAUUGGAGAAAUAUUUUUCCAAGUAAUUAGGAAAGAAAACUUGCCUGUGUUGUUGAGUCAGAUGCAAUUGAAGCAAAAAAGUGAUCGAAAUGUGAAGUUUUAUGAGUUUGCACUUCAGAAAUUUGACGUUCCUCUAAAUUAUCUCAUGGAAUUUUGGCCAAAAUUCAGCAAUACAGGUAGUUCACAGUCUACCUUAUUGUAGACGUGGAAUGUGAAUAUCUGUUUAAAUAUUAGCAUUAACUAAAACAUAGUGACCUAGACUGGCCACAUUAAUGUUAUAGUUGUAUUUCCAUGUUUCCCAGGAAAAAGAUAAUCACUAACCACCUUUGAGGAAAAUAUUUAAAAUGUCACAAUUUCAGUAUUGCAGUUCCCAAUGUGAAGUGUGUUUGAUGCUUAUUGAUUAAAAUUUUCCCGAUUAAUUUAAA
rnacentral:lncRNA from 1 species